UGUACUAAAAUUAUUGUUUUGACCAAAUAUAUGUGACACUAAGUACUCAUGAAACAGCUACUUGGUACUAUACAAAGUCUGCAAAUCUGCGAAAGAAUCAAUAACUUAAACUGACCUUCACUGAUUGAGAGUGUGAUGGACUUAAUGAGUCGAAGCUCUGACUGCCAACACAGACUCUGAGGAGGACUCAAGCUGAAAUGCAACCGAUGACAGAACGAGAGAGGGAGAAAAUACUCAACGGAGAAGUACGAAUGCCUCUUAUUGAAAGACUGGAAGCUAAGCUUUUAAAUGUUACUGCGAGAGGUGGUUCAAAGAUAAAAAUUAAAGUUAUAAUUACACGAGCUUGCAAAUACACAUCCUAAACACUUAAUUUGAUUGUGUACAUACUUGACAAUUGUAUAUAAUUACAGGUGGCAGUUAUAGCAUAGAUAAACGAACAGAAAAGGAUUGGAAACGCCUAUCUGGCCCACGUAAUAGAGGCUAGUUACGGUCACAUGACAGGAAGCUCUAAAAUUAACUCUUCUUCCACUGCAAGCCCAUAGCAACGAUAAUUAUGUAUGCACGCAUGUUUGACAUAUCCAUGGCAGCAAAUAUAGCUGCUAUGUCCAAUACUAACCCCCACCCCCCACAGCUCCCUGCCCCACACUGAGUCCGCUGUCUAUAAUGGAAUGAUCUCAUACGAUGCAACCACCAACAUGGCCACCUACACCUGUGACACUGGGUACACCAUCAGUGGAACCAUAGAUAGAAGAGUAAUUACUUGUAGGAGUGAUGGUACCUGGUCUCCAACACCACCCACUUGUACAAACUGUAAUAGAGGUUCAACUCUGGUGGAGCAUGCUACUGUUUACAUCCCUGAAGAAGAAGAUGCAUCUGCUGAACUUAUGAUGAGAGGAUCUGUUGUUGUGUUGUGUCCAACUUGUUAGAUCUAAUAAUUGUCCAACUUGUUAGAUCUAGUUACACUAGUACAAUUUUGCUCGGAAGCAAGAAGCAAAGUGUAUUAAACGUAGAGAGACACUGCAACAUCAGACAUAAUUUUUAAUUGUUUUGUAAAAUUAAUUGUAUAAUAAAUAAAUCGAUUAUAAAUUAUUAUUAUU